rnacentral:rRNA from 1 species
GACGAACGCUGGCGGCGUGCUUAACACAUGCAAGUCGAACGAAGUGGCGAACGGGUGCGUAACGCGUAAUCAACCUGCCCUUAAGAGGGGGACAACAGUUGGAAACGACUGCUAAUACCGCAUACUGAAGGAGGGGAUUGCGUCUGAUUAGCAAGUUGGAGGGGUAACGGCCCACCAAGGCGAUGAUAUGUAACCGUUCUGAGAGGAUGAGCGACCACGUUGGGCCUGAGACACGGACCAGAGUCCUACGGGAGGAAGCAGUAGGGAAUCUGCGGCAAUGGAAGACAGUCUUACGGAGCAACGCCGCGUGAGUGAGGACGGCCUUCGGGUUGUAAAGCUCUGUUAAACGGGACGCGGUACCGGAAUAGAAAGCCACGGCUAACUACGUGCCAGCAGCCGCGGUAAUAC